UUCGCUACAGAUUGGUGGAGAAAUGCGGGCGUGAUAAAACGAUGGUUAUGAGCCUAAACACUGUCAACCUAAAAGUGUGUGCGUGACUUGAGAUACGCUGUUGUGUCCCUAUUUGCUGGCUUGUUUAAAUGCAGAUAAAGUGGGGGCUUGAAUUGGUACCGCUAUUAUGAUUGGAAGAGUCUUUAUGUAUUUCAUGCCUAAUGGUAUCAGUGUAAGGUUAAUCUGAUUUUAGCAAAGAAACCCUAAUUUCAGUAUUAAAGCAUAAAUCUGUUCUGACAAAGCAUAAGUCUGAAUCUCAGCUCAGCGGCAUGUCCAAACUGUACCAUAAUGAAUAAUGCUUUAGUGAAGAAAUCACAAAAUUGCAGUAUUGUUUAAAUUGUUUCUUUGAAGAAGAAAUCUCAGUACAGUUAUAUCAAGGUAGAUUUGAGUGUUGCUCCUCUUUCUACAGCAUAAGGGCCUUAGAGAUUAUAAUUAGAGUGAAGCAAUUCAUCUACACUUUGACAGCAUAUAUACAAGCCUAGCAACCUGGUGGUCAUUACUGUGUUUCACUCGCUGAGUGAAAUUAAAGGUGUAAUACUGUACUUUAGUAUUCAUGUGUGAGGCACACAUAACUACAUAUAUGUUUAAACCGGCUGUAACUUACAGUAAACCUGUUUUUUUAAUUCUUUAAACAAGUGCAAGAAGUUUAUUGUUAAAUUAGAGAAGCACUCACAAGUGCUUAUUUAAUGCAACAAGUCUUGAAGGACUGAAAGCACCACGUUUUAAAACUGUGGGCAACUUCUUUGAAAUAGGCAGACACUAAACUGCUUGAAUUGCACUGGCAUGCAUUGGUUACCAUGACAAUGACUUGUCACAGGAAGCGCUAACUUCACAUAGCACACGCGACGCCAAAUUUGUAAACAAACCACCUGAAGCAGCUAAGCUAACACGACUUAGCAUAGUUUCAUCUUAGGCUAAGCUACCAAAUAGCUUUAACAAUUAGGGGUUAACACUCUUUAAUUGAAGCUUUUAAAUACAGCAUGUGUGUAUGCAGUGUGAAGUAAUUUGAACUUAACCUAAUCCCUGGUUUCUGAUUUUUCACUGUCUUUUCCUUCUUUUUCUUCUUUUUCUAUGUUUACCAAUCUUCAAUUCGUCUCAGCGAAUUUAACUAUCUUAGAUGUAUCCUUCCUGAAUGCUAUUGCUCAGUUACUACCUAAUUAAAUCUAAAUUUAAUUACAUUUUAACUGUCUAUCUAGAGAAGAAUCAUUAAGUUAUUGGGUGCUUUUAGUGACACAGUGAGUAAUGUGCCACGGAGGGCGGGGCACACACAUGGCAAACUGAACACGCAGCAGCUGUGACCAGACAUGGUGUGUUGCCCAACACAAAUCAGUUAAUCACUAGUGCUACUGAUUGUUCCCAAUACCAGAUUGAUUACCCUGUUUUAAUAAUAGCAGUCAGCUAAUUUUAAAUCCAUUUACAUGGUAUACCCCCUUUUGUUCCACUUUGUUUUGAUGUUCUUUCUGAACCUCAAAAGGAACCAGAGACACUUCUAUUUUUGAUUUGUUUAUUUACAACAUGUGCCCUAAUUUUAUGACCCUGUUACACAAGUCAUCUAGACAAACACUAGGGCAUAACUAUCGUCCUGAGCACCAAAUAAUAAGCAUAAUCUGAAUAGAAAUGCUCUCUUUUUCCUUCUGCUUUCCCCUUUUCUCCUUCACUUCCUCAGAGAUUGAGCCUGUUUGGGGAACCGUCAGUAAAUUCUGAGUGAUAAUUUGACAAAUAAGAGUAGUCUUAAGUCAUCAAUCAAAACCCUGUUUACGCCCUUUUCAGCAAACAUAUGCUGACCCAAACCGAUCUUAGCAUUCACACUCUGUUUUGAUCUUGUAGUAGUCUCUAGCCCUUACUCUCAACACAAGUUUGCCAAAAUGUUGCACAUGCUCAGACUAACUGCCCAGAAUGCAGACCAAAGAGGGCUGGCCAGGCGUUGUGAGGAACACCCCCUACCCCGGGCCGACGACCACCUACUGAGCCGAAAGCAACUGGACACAGAGAAAAGAGUACCUCAGACUCAGGGCUCAAGCGAGAGUUAUGACUACAAAAAGCUCACCAAGGUCAUCAUCUUCCUGGCCCACAACCUCAUGGGAUUGAAACAGGAGGAAAUUGAUAGACUUCAAGAGACUCUGAUCCAGCAGCUGAACAACACUCAAGACAAGCUUGACAUGUUCCGAAGAGAACUCAGGGACUCCUAUAGGCUGC